UUUUGUUUAAUCGUCUCAGGUGAGAGAGGACAUUUGGUGUUCUUACCAAGUUAGACUUGAUGGACAAAGGAACUAAUGCAUUAGCAGUUCUUGAAGGAAGAUCAUACAAGCUGCAACAUCCUUGUGUUGGGAUAGUGAACCGUUCAUAAGCAGAUAACAAUAAGAAUGUCGAUAUGAUGCUUGCGAGACACAAGGAACGAGAAUAUUUUGACAUUUAACGAGAGUACAUUUAAGGGAAACUAUGUCUCUUUAAUGAAGUCUUACAUUUUUAGCUAUUGGCUAAAUCUAUUGGUUUCAUUCUCAGGCUCAACUAUACACUAUAUUAGAGAUGUGCCGUGCAUUUGAUAAGAUAUUCAAGGAACAUCUGGAUGGCGGGUAAACAUCGUUACUCAUCUUCCUGUGGAAAUCUUUAGGCUUAAGUUAUUGGUUUUUCUUUGGUUAACCUCAUAUUAUUUACAUUUUAAGGCGUCUAUCGUAUCUAUGUAGUUUUCGACAAUCAACUUCCAGCUGCACUCAAAAUGCUUCCUUUUGUUCGCCAUCUUUCUCUACAAAGCGUUAAGAUAAUCUUGUCCGAGGCAGAUGGCUAUUAACCUCACUUGAUUGUACCUGAACAGGGUUAUCGCCAUCUUAUUGAAGGGUCGCUGGGCUACUUUAGAGGUCCAGCCGAAGCUUCUGUGGAUGCUGUAAGUUCUUCUGAAGUGUAUCUUCACUUCACUCUUAUACAUAUACAAGAUCGUAAUGAGUUUGACGCGUAUGCAGCAGGUUCACUUUGUCUUGAAAGAGCUUGUGAGGAAGUCAAUAUCAGAAACUGAGGUGAGACACUUAUUGUGAACUGCUCUCUGCAAUUCGUAGAAGUGUAUGAGAAAUCCACUCAAUCCAGAGCAUUAUUUUGUCGAUGCUUUUAUCCUUUUUUAUCAAAUCUCUCCAGUAAGAAAAAUAUAUCCUUUGGUUUCUUUGAGUUGUCGGCAAAUAUAGAAGCCAGCUCAUCAAAGGUAUUGGUAAACAUAGCAAGCAAGACCUUCCCUUUGAAUUUAUUGGAGAUGAAACUUUUAUCCUCUUCGAGAAAAGGGCAGUUUAAAGCACACAAAACUUUCAAGUUCUGUGAUGAUUUCAACAACCGUUUAACUGCAAUAUGGUCAAUGGUGGUUCUGGAGACAUCCAAACAGGUUAGUGUUGGUAGCCUCUCCCAAUUAUCUAAUGCAACUUUCCACUUUAUGUUUGAUGUCCCGGCAACAGAGAGGUAGCGAA